CUUCAAAUUGUGGUAAAAAUCUUUGUUCAUGUUUUUCUGAGUGUGCAAAAAAAAUCUCGGUAGGUCUAUACCACUUAUUAAUUCAUCAUAAUGAAGAGACUAGCCAAGUUAAGUUUUCAAGAUUGUCAUUCUCUCGAAAAGUUUUUGAAAAAUGGUUGAUAACUUUUUUAUAUGUUUAAUUUCCAUAGAGAAAAUAGCAAAAUCAUUUGAAAAACUUAUAGCAAACCAAAUGUUUCAUUAGGCUAUUUAAUAGUUUAUAAGCAUUUAAAACAAUUUGAGACGAUGGAACAGGCCAAUCCAAUAUCGUGAUUGAUGACCAGGGUUCCCCGGAUAGAUCGUGUCAAAAAUUAAAACUGUAUUUUACAUAUAUAUGGCGGCGUCACAGACCAGCAUAGUCAUCAUUGAAAAAAUCCUCUAAAGAAUAAAAACUCCUCCAAUGAGCCACCUUGAUAGGCGUGCUGAGAUAGCCUAUAUACCGGUACCGUAUUUCUCUUUUUUUUCUUUCUUGUUUGGAAACAUUAUUCUCAAUAAUCAUAGGUAAACCACAGAAUUACAAAUUAAUUGUAAUUACACAUAAUUAUAUGAGUUUUCUCUGAGGUAAACUAAUUAAUAAAGUUAGUGUAAUGAGUACUGGAGGUGCCCCGGAGCCGACUGGCGGGGAAUUACAAUAGCUUUCCUUCGCAGGCAAUAAGAUUUUUUAACAGCUUUCCUAGACCAAUUCAGGAAACACGGAACUCUUGGUUCUAUACAACUUUGAAAAAUAAACUCCUGGAAAAGCCACUCUACUCACUACAGGAGUUUUACAGUGAACCUCUUUUUAGGAGUCAAGCACCUCCACAGCGUGAAUGACCAUGUAGGUUAUUUUUAUUGAGAAUUCCGACACUGCCUAUCUGGAAACCCCAGUCAUUGGCAACGACCUCAAGUAUCAAUGAAUUCAAGCCAUAAAAUGGAUGAUCGUGAAAAACCUGUGCCCUAAAGAAGCUGCCAGCGGACUCCAACUGUUUGAAGGAAUGCACUGAUACUCUUGGAGUCUCAAUUUAUCAUACGGAGUCAUCAAUAACCGGAGAUACAAUCAGGAAGGAUCGGGAGACAGCCUUAGGGAUCUUUGGCUGUAGCACUAGGAAAUAUGCCUGAUAUUAUCGGUUCAUAUUGACCCACUCCCCGCGAUUACUAAAAUAAUAGCUGUCGUUUAAAUAAAUACCGUAAUGACGUUUUCUUCUUAGUGCUGGAAAUCAGCGAGUGGAAUCACUACCUCCGUAAACAAAGCCAUAGUGCAUUCUGGUGACGUCAGCACAGGUAGGGCUCCUACACCAAUAAAAAUUUAUUGAUUUCAGCUGAUCUAUAUCAGCUAGUGUUUUUAUUGGUGUAGGAGCCCUACCUGUGCUGACGUCACCAUCAACCACCUGACAUGCACUAUGGCUUUUGUAAGGGUGGGAAAAUGAAAAACAAGAAAAGAUUGUACAGGUUUUUGAUAUUAAAAACAAAUCAAUAAAUUAUUUUAUUACGAAAUUAGAAUUGUAAUUAGAAUUUAUUACGAAAUAAUAAUCAGAUGAAUAUUUCAGGGGCUACUCGCUUUGCUGAUCUGUGGUCGCUUAGUCUAUGAUAAUAAAAAAUAAACAAAGAUUACUAUUUAGAAUUAUAGAUCUGAAAAAAAUUCAAAAAAAAAUGUACAAUUAACUAUUAUCUUACUUUACCUUUACAAGAGUCCCUUGGCCUGCUCUUCAAGGUCCAGUUAAAACACUCCCGAAUUUAAAUUUAAAAUAUAUAUAUA